GGAUUAUGAGACUUUCUCAUCUUUCUAAGGGGAACAGGCCAAUUUCUCAGCUCUGUGGCGUUUGCACCCAUUAAUAGCACCAGUUUGUGCUGGUAUGAGGACAAGUUCUAUGCUGCCUGUGAUCUGAUUCCUAGAGCCAUCACUUUCAAGCUGUGGUGUACUGGGUUUUGGGGUACAUGUGCAGAAAAUGCAAGACAUUUGCAUAGGUACACACAUGGCAGUGUGUUUUGCUGCCUUCCUCCCCUUCACCCACAUUUGGGGAGAAAUUCCAAAAGAAGAUCUUUAGAGAGGUAGAAAAAAUAUAUAGAUCAGAAACUUGAAUCCACAUAAAGAAAAGAAGAGCAUCAGAGAAGUAAAG
rnacentral:lncRNA from 13 species